rnacentral:lncRNA from 1 species
AAUCCCCGCAGGCGCUGGGUCUGCAGAUGGCGUCCAGGUACACAGUGGCGAGUGUGAUUCCGCAGUCUUGGGCUGUUUGGCCAAGCGCCCGCCGGACAUGGUACGCCGAAGGGUCAUCGGCGUGGAGUCCUCGCUUUCAGCGUCCGCGGCUGGGAAAUCGGCCAUCGCUACGGCGGGAACUGGGACUCGGGCUGCGUCCCGGCCCUUCCACAUCGGUCCACCGCACUCGUGGGCGCCCGCAUUGGUGCUGACAUAAUUUCCUGACCUCUGACCCGUAUUGUCUCGCGAUUAAAGGUCCAGAUUUGGAACAAAUCUCUCUAGAGAUUGAACAGAGCUGCGCCUGGAUCCCUCAGCAGUGAGGAGACCUGAAGACCAGAGGAAACACAGCAAGCACAUGGACAGACAGAUAGAAGGAUGGGAAAAUAGAUAGAUGGUCCAGGCACAAUGGCUCACGCCUGUAAUCUCAGCACUUUGGGAGGCCAAGGCGUGUGGAUUACCUGAGGUCAGGAGUUUGAGACCAGCCUAGCCAACAUGGUGAAACCCCAUCUCUACU